CACUCCACUGUAUUACAGGUUGGGUGACAGAAUGAGACUCUGUCUGAAAAAACUACAACAACAACAACAACAACAACAAACUGAAUGGAGUUUAGUUAUGAAGGACCUUGUAUGACAUAUGAGGAGUUUUCAGUUCAUCUAUUAAAAAAUGUGAGACCAUGGAAGAGUUUUAAGCAAGAGAAUGACAAGGCAAAAUUUUUGGUCUAGAAAGAUCUUUCUUGCCGCAGUGUGGACCAAAGCCUCGGAGAAAGACUUCAAAAAGGAAAACGCAUUAAUAGAAUGUAGAAAUGAUUAAGAAAGCUCUUCCACGAGUUCACCAAUGGAAAUAACAUCAAGAGUUUUUCAUCUUCUUAGUGAGCAAAGGUAUGGAUAUUCAGUGUGUGAGCUUCAAGAGUAUCUAAGGGAGGUGAUAACGUGGUUGAGAAUAUACCAGAGACUACAAACUGUCUGUGCAUCCCAGAGGAACAGGAAGCUCAUGCAGGUGAAAAGACUGGAGGAGGAGGUAUGCUCAUGAUACCCAGGAAGCCCACCUCCCACUUCUUUGGUCAUCAGAAGUAAGACAAAGGACAAUUAAAUGAGUGGUUAGUAGUUGUUUAGAGAAAAGAGAAUUUUCACUUCAUAUGCUAGUCAUUGAUAAUAUUUGCCAUUGUGGUUGCUGUUAAGUAAGUUUCUUCCUGCAGGCCUGUGAGAAGGCAUAGUACAUGAAAGUGGCAGUGCUUUCAACCUGAUGAUUAUUAUACAGUAUGGACUUUUAUUAUAUAACGAGCAAUACUUAUAUUUUGUUAUUCACUUAUUUUUUACUAUACACUUAUACAUAUGCAGACACAGUAAUAAACAUCUAAGUGGUACAAGUAGGUACAAAACCAAAAAUAAAAGUCUUUGCCUUCUAACUUC